UACAGAGGUCUCAAGCGUUGUUCGGAUUCAUUGGGCGUAAAGGGUGCGUAGGCGGCGCGGUAAGUCGGGUGUGAAAUCUUGGAGCUUAACUCCGAAACUGUAUUCGAUACUGCCGUGCUUGAGGACUGGAGAGGAGACUGGAAUUUACGGUGUAGCGGUGAAAUGCGUAGAUAUCGUAAGGAAGACCAGUGGCGAAGGCGGGUCUCUGGACAGUUCCUGACACUGAGACACGAAGGCCAGGGGAGCAAACGGG
rnacentral:rRNA from 1 species